GACGAACGCUGGCGGCGUGCUUAACACAUGCAAGUCGAACGGAAAGGCCCUGCUUUUGUGGGGUGCUCGAGUGGCGAACGGGUGAGUAACAAGUGAGUAACCUGCCCUUGACUUUGGGAUAACUUCUGGAAACAGGGGCUAAUAACGGAUAGGAGCUCCUGCUGCUUGGUGGGGGUUGGAAAGUUUCGGCGGUUGGGGAUGGACUCGCGGCUUAUCAGCUUGUUGGUGGGGUAGUGGCUUACCAAGGCUUUGACGGGUAGCCGGCCUGAGAGGGUGACCGGCCACAUGACGACUGAGGGACGGCCCAGUCUCCUACGGGAGGCAGCAGUGGGGAAUAUGGCACAAUGGGCGGAAGCCUGAUGCAGCAGCGCCGCGUGCGGGAUGACGUCCUUCGGGUUGUAAACCGCUUUCGCCUGUGACGAAGCGUGAGUGACGGUAAUGGGUAAAGAAGCACCGGCUAACUACGUG
rnacentral:rRNA from 1 species